rnacentral:rRNA from 1 species
GAUGAACGCUGGCUACAGGCUUAACACAUGCAAGUCGAGGGGAAACGACGGGGAAGCUUGCUUCCCCGGGCGUCGACCGGCGCACGGGUGAGUAACGCGUAUCCAACCUGCCUCUGACUGAGGGAUAACCCGUCGAAAGUCGGCCUAAUACCUCAUGGCAUCGUCUGCGGGCAUCCAACGACGAUUAAAGAUUUCAUCGGUCAGAGAUGGGGAUGCGUCUGAUUAGCUUGUUGGCGGGGUAACGGCCCACCAAGGCGACGAUCAGUAGGGGUUCUGAGAGGAAGGUCCCCCACAAUGGAACUGAGACACGGACCAAACUCCGACGGGAGGCAGCAGUGAGGAAUAUUGGUCAAUGGGCGAGAGCCUGAACCAGCCAAGUAGCGGGCAGGAGGACGGCCCUAUGGGUUGUAAACUGCUUUUAUGCGGGGAUAAAGUGAGGGACGUGUCCUUCAUUGCAGGUACCGCAUGAAUAAGGACCGGCUAAUUCCGUG